CCAAAAACUUAGCCCCCCCCCCCCUUCCCCCUUAUGAAACAAAAUAAAAUAUUUUACCAACCUAGUAAAGAAGAUCAAAAAAUUUCUAAGAGCUAUAAAUUGUACCGCAAGGGACAAGUGAAAUAAAAAUGAAAUAACCUUCAAGCACAAAAAAAUAGAGACCCACCCUCGUACCUUUUGCAUCAUGGUUUAGCUAGUCUAAUUGGGCAAAAAGACUUUAAGUCCAACCCCCCGAAACUGUGUGAGCUAAUUUGGGGCCGCUUUAUGAGCCAACCCGUCUAUGUAGAAAAAUAGUGGGAUGACCCCAAAAUAGAGGUGACAAACCUAACGAACUCAGUCAUAGCUGGUUUCUCAAGAAAAGAAUUUAAGUUCCGCCUAAAGUUCCUCCCCCUCCUUAAUCUCCCAAGAAUCUUUAGAGUAACUCAAAUAAGGUACAGCCUAUUUGACACAGGACUCAACCUUUAACAACGGGUAAUACCUGAAUGACCUCUAAGUGGGCCUAAGAGCAGCCAUCUUUUAAAAAGCGUCAAAGCUUAUUAAUUAUACUAAUUCGCAAACCACUAUUGACCCCUUCAACCAUACUGAGAACUCCUAUAACCCCUAUAGGACCUUUUAUGCUAAAACUAGUAACAAGAGGCUAACCCUCUCUACAAUGUAAACUCAAACCAGCUUGAACCCAUCACUGGUACUUAACAGACUUAAACUAAAGUAGCAACUCCUCUAGAAAAUACUACCAACCUCACUGUUAACCUAACACAAGAACAUUUAAAGAAAGAUUAAAAGGAAAAGAAGGAACUCGGCAAAUAUUAAACCCGCCUGUUUACCAAAAACAUCACCUCUUGCUCAACAUAAGAGGCCCAGCCUGCCCAGUGACCCUGUUCAACGGCCGCGGUAUCCUAACCGCGCGAAGGUAGCGUAAUCACUUGUUUUCUAAAUAAAGACUAGUAUGAAAGGCAUCACGAGAUUUAAACUGUCUCCUUUCCCUAAUCAGUGAACCUAAUCUCCCCGUGAAGAAGCGGGGGUAACCUUAUAAGACGAGAAGACCCUGUGGAGCUUAAAACAAUUACACACGUGCUACCCAAUUCCUACACUAAGGCCAUCACCCCCUCAGCACGCUGAUUAUAUGUUUUCGGUUGGGGUGACCACGGAGAAUAAAAUACCCUCCGCGAUGAAAGGGACAUACUCCCUAAAUAAUAAGCCACAACUUAAUAUAUCAAUAAAUUGACAUCCAUUGACCCAAUAUUUUGAUCAACGAACCAAGUUACCCCAGGGAUAACAGCGCAAUCCACUUUUAGAGCUCCUAUCAACAAGUGGGCUUACGACCUCGAUGUUGGAUCGGGAUAUCCCAGUGGUGCAGCCGCUACUAAAGGUU
rnacentral:rRNA from 1 species